AUCCCAGUUCGGAUCGCAGGCUGCAACCCGCCUGCGUGAAGUUGGAAUCGCUAGUAAUCGCGGAUCAGCAUGCCGCGGUGAAUACGUUCCCGGGCCUUGCACACACCGCCCGUCACACCAUGAGAGUCGGGAACACCCGAAGUCCGUAGCCUAACCGCAAGGGGGGCGCGGCCGAAGGUGGGUUCGAUAAUUGGGGUGAAGUCGUAACAAGGUAAC
rnacentral:rRNA from 1 species